CUCAUUUUCAUCAAAGUCAAUGCUAAUCUCUCUAUCUCUUGUACAGCAGGCAAGUCUCCUCCUCAUGAGUACCAUUUUUACCAAUCUUAACAAAGGAUUAUCUCUAAAAUUGCUGCUCAACAACCACCUGAACCAUCCAACCAACAGUGAAAAUGUUAGACAAAGUUCAAUUUGACAAAAAUUGGCAAAAUACAAUUAAUGCAACUGUUAACAUUUUGAAAAAGACAAGAAGAAAAGGAUUUAAUACCCUCACUGUCAUUAUUAUGGUGAUUUGGAGUAAAAGCUACCUCUAAUCUUAUCCCCAUAAAGAAGUUAUGAAAAUGAAGGCACUUGAAUGUUUAUAAACUCACAAUUCACCAAACCCUUUAUCAAAAUUUGCUCCUCU
rnacentral:lncRNA from 1 species